CCUACGGGAGGCAGCAGUGGGGAAUAUUGCACAAUGGGGGAAACCCUGAUGCAGCGACGCCGCGUGAGUGAAGAAGUAAUUCGUUAUGUAACGCUCUAUCAGCAGGGCAGAAAAUGACGGUACCUGAGUAAGAAGCCCAGGCUAACUACGCGCCCGCAGCCGCGGCAAUACGUAGGGGGCAAGCGUUAUCCGGAUUUACUGGGUGUAAAGGGAGCGUAGACGGCAGUGCAAGUCUGGAGUGAAAGGUGGGCGCUCAAACCCCGGACUGCUCUGGAAACUGUACGGCUGGAGUGCAGGAGAGGUAAGUGGAAUUCCUGGUGUAGCGGUGAAAUGCGUAGAUAUUAGGAGGAACACCAGGGGCGAAGGCGGCUUACUGGACUGUAACUGACGUUGAGGCUCGAAAGCGUGGGGAGCAAACAGGAUUAGAUACCCCAGUAGUC
rnacentral:rRNA from 1 species